CACGUAGGGGACGAGCGUUGUCCGGAUUCAUUGGGCGUAAAGCGCGCGUAGGCGGCUCGGAAAGUCGGUCGUGAAAUGCCGGGGCUCAACCCCGGGACUGCGUCCGAUACUUCCGGGCUGGAGGUAGGUAGGGGAGAUCGGAAUUCCUGGUGUAGCGGUGAAAUGCGCAGAUAUCAGGAGGAACACCGGUGGCGAAGGCGGAUCUCUGGGCCUUACCUGACGCUGAGGCGCGAAAGCUAGGGGAGCGAAUGGG
rnacentral:rRNA from 1 species